AAAUUGAAGAGUUUGAUCAUGGCUCAGAUUGAACGCUGGCGGCAGGCCUAACACAUGCAAGUCGAACGGUAACAGGAAACAGCUUGCUGUUUCGCUGACGAGUGGCGGACGGGUGAGUAAUGUCUGGGAAACUGCCCGAUGGAGGGGGAUAACUACUGGAAACGGUAGCUAAUACCGCAUAACGUCGCAAGACCAAAGAGGGGGACCUUCGGGCCUCUUGCUAUCGGAUGUGCCCAGAUGGGAUUAGCUAGUAGGUGGGGUAACGGCUCACCUAGGCGACGAUCCCUAGCUGGUCUGAGAGGAUGACCAGCCACACUGGAACUGAGACACGGUCCAGACUCCUACGGGAGGCAGCAGUGGGGAAUAUUGCACAAUGGGCGCAAGCCUGAUGCAGCCAUGCCGCGUGUAUGAAGAAGGCCUUCGGGUUGUAAAGUACUUUCAGCGGGGAGGAAGGGAGUAAAGUUAAUACCUUUACUCAUUGACGUUACCCGCAGAAGAAG
rnacentral:rRNA from 1 species